GACGAACGCUGGCGGCGUGCCUAAUACAUGCAAGUUGAGCGAUGAAGAUUGGUGCUUGCACCAAUUUGAAGAGCAGCGAACGGGUGAGUAACGCGUGGGGAAUCUGCCUUUGAGCGGGGGACAACAUUUGGAAACGAAUGCUAAUACCGCAUAACAACUUUAAACAUAAGUUUUAAGUUUGAAAGAUGCAAUUGCAUCACUCAAAGAUGAUCCCGCGUUGUAUUAGCUAGUUGGUGAGGUAAAGGCUCACCAAGGCGAUGAUACAUAGCCGACCUGAGAGGGGGAUCGGCCACAGUGGGACUGAGACACGGCCCAAACUCCUACGGGAGGCAGCAGUAGGGAAUCUUCGGCAAUGGACGAAAGUCUGACCGAGCAACGCCGCGUGAGUGAAGAAGGUUUUCGGAUCGUAAAACUCUGUUGGUAGAGAAGAACGUUGGUGAGAGUGGAAAGCUCAUCAAGUGACGGUAACUACCCAGAAAGGGACGGCUAACUACGUG
rnacentral:rRNA from 1 species